UACGGGGGGAGCAAGCGUUGUUCGGAUUUACUGGGCGUAAAGGGCGCGUAGGCGGCGCAACAAGUCACUUGUGAAAUCUCCGGGCUUAACCCGGAGCGGCCAAGUGAUACUGUCGUGCUAGAGUGCGGAAGGGGCUACUGGAAUUCUCGGUGUAGCGGUGAAAUGCGUAGAUAUUGGGAAGAACACCUGAGGCGAAGGCGGGUUGCUGGGCCGACACUGACGCUGAGGCGCGAAAGCCAGGGGAGCAAACGGG
rnacentral:rRNA from 1 species